CUGAUUCUGAUUAUAAAAGCUCGUUGUUGGGACCCAGAGCCCUCUCAUGCCCCAUUGUUAUGGAACCCAGAGAUAUUGGGAAAUAACUGUGAGAUUUCACUGCCCAGCAUAGCAAUUGUUGCAUUUGUGAGGUGGGGAAAGGACUACUAAUGGAUCCAUGCACUCCUCAGGCGUCAUACUGAGUGUCAGAGAGUGUCUGUGACUGUUGGGAUGGGGAGAGGAAGAAAGGAAGGGAAUUGGUCCUGAUGGGAAAGAAGAAAAAGAAGGGAACCUGACGUCUCUCGUUUCUUCCACUUGCAGGAUGGAGAGCUAUGCUAGGGCAUGGCGCAGUGCCUGGUGUGGGCUUGGCAUUGAGGAUACAAGAACCAAAAAAGGAAAACAGUCUCUGUCCUCAAGAAACUUAUGUUCUAUCAAACAGAACUGAAAAGGCAUUCUGGGCUCCAAGAAGGAUCCUUUCAUAUAUUGGUUACCAUGGCUUACUAACUCCUCUACAUUUGGGCAUCUGUUUGCUGAAGCAGGGUUUGACUCAAAUGGUUAGCCCAUGGCUGGAUGCAUUUUUUCAUUCCAUUCUAAAGACAAUUCAAGUGAGAAACUUCAGUACAUUGGCUUUGUUCUGUGAGUCAUCGCACUGUAAUUAACUGAAUCUGGUUUUAAACACUGAGAGGACACCUUUCUUGUCUGUUUAUGUCAGGAAAAAUGGCUAAUGAGUACUUAUCAAAAAGAUGAACAUUUUUCAUUAGAUUAAGUAAAAUCAAAACAGAUUUAUAAUGUGCUAUUAGAUUUCAG
rnacentral:lncRNA from 1 species